GACGAACGCUGGCGGCGUGCUUAACACAUGCAAGUCGAACGAAGUUGCGAACGGGUGCGUAACGCGUAAUCAACCUGCCCUUCUGAGUGGGACAACAGUUGGAAACGACUGCUAAUACCGCAUACUGUAGGAGGGGAUUGCGUCUGAUUAGAUCGUUGGAGGGGAAACGGCCCACCAAGGCGAUGAUCAGUAGCCGGUCUGAGAGGAUGAACGGCCACAUUGGGACGGAGACACGGCCCAGACUCCGACGGGAGGCAGCAGUGGGGAAUCGUCCGCAAUGAACGAAAGUCUGACGGAGCAACGCCGCGUGAGUGAUGACGGCCUUCGGGUUGUAAAGCUCUGUUAAUCGGGACGCGGUACCGGAAUAGAAAGCCACGGCUAACUACGUGCCAGCAGCCGCGGUAAUUC
rnacentral:rRNA from 1 species